UACGUAGGGUGCGAGCGUUAAUCGGAAUUACUGGGCGUAAAGCGUGCGCAGGCGGUUCGUUAAGUCUGAUGGGAAAGCCCCGGGCUCAACCUGGGAAUGGCAUUGGAGACUGGCGAGCUUGAGUGUGGCAGAGGGGGGUGGAAUUCCGCGUGUAGCAGUGAAAUGCGUAGAGAUGCGGAGGAACACCGAUGGCGAAGGCAGCCCCCUGGGCUGACACUGACGCUCAGGCACGAAAGCGUGGGGAGCAAACAGG
rnacentral:rRNA from 1 species